rnacentral:rRNA from 1 species
UACGUAGGGGGCGAGCGUUGUCCGGAUUCAUUGGGCGUAAAGAGCUCGUAGGCGGCUUGGCAAGUCGGAUGUGAAAACUCCAGGCUCAACCUGGAGCCGCCAUUCGAUACUGCUAUGGCUAGAGUCCGGUAGGGGAGUGUGGAAUUCCCGGUGUAGCGGUGAAAUGCGCAGAUAUCGGGAGGAACACCGAUGGCGAAGGCGGGUCUCUGGGCCGAUACUGACGCUGAGGCGCGAAAGCUAGGGUAGCAAACGGG